rnacentral:rRNA from 1 species
AUUGAACGCUGGCGGCAUGCUUUACACAUGCAAGUCGAACGGCAGCGCGGGCUUCGGCCUGGCGGCGAGUGGCGAACGGGUGAGUAAUGCAUCGGAACGUGCCCAGUAGUGGGGAUAGCCCGGCGAAAGCCGGAUUAAUACCGCAUACGACCUGAGGGUGAAAGCGGGGGACCGAAAGGCCUCGCGCUAUUGGAGCGGCCGAUGUCGGAUUAGCUAGUUGGUGGGGUAAAGGCUUACCAAGGCGACGAUCCGUAGCUGGUCUGAGAGGACGACCAGCCACACUGGGACUGAGACACGGCCCAGACUCUACGGGAGGCAGCAGUGGGGAAUUUUGGACAAUGGGGGCAACCCUGAUCCAGCCAUGCCGCGUGCGGGAAGAAGGCCUUCGGGUUGUAAACCGCUUUUGUUCGGGAAGAAAUCCUCUGGGCUAAUACCCCGGGGGGAUGACGGUACCGGAAGAAUAAGCACCGGCUAACUACGUG